GAUGAACGCUGGCGGCGUGCCUAAUACAUGCAAGUCGAGCGAACGGACGAGAAGCUUGCUUCUCUGAUGUUAGCGGCGGACGGGUGAGUAACACGUGGAUAACCUACCUAUAAGACUGGGAUAACUUCGGGAAACCGGAGCUAAUACCGGAUAAUAUUUUGAACCGCAUGGUUCAAAAGUGAAAGACGGUCUUGCUGUCACUUAUAGAUGGAUCCGCGCUGCAUUAGCUAGUUGGUAAGGUAACGGCUUACCAAGGCAACGAUGCAUAGCCGAACUGAGAGGCGGAUCGCCCACACGGGAACUGAGACACGGUCCAUACUCCUACGGGAGGCAGCAGUAGGGAAUCUUCCGCAAUGGGCGAGAGCCUGACGGAGCAACGCCGCGUGAGUGAUGAAGGUCUUCGGAUCGUAAAACUCUGUUAUUAGGGAAGAACAUAUGUGUAAGUAACUGUGCACAUCUUGACGGUACCUAAUCAGAAAGCCACGGCUAACUACGUG
rnacentral:rRNA from 1 species